CGCCACUACUAGUAUUAGCACCUUGCACGAACCCGACUCCAUCGCAGCUUUGGGUUGGCGUCACGAAAAGGACUAGCACAGAGCAGCGGCGAGGAACUACACAACCAUAGUCCAAAGAGCAUCCAAGAAGAGAAGCGAAAUGGGCGGCGGCAGAGGAAGAGGAAACAGGUCCCGAACUCAAAGAAAGCAUUUCCGCGAUGGCCGAGAGAACGUUUGGAAACGCGCCAAAUCUCACUCUUCCUCUGAUCCCAACAACACUAGCACCGAUAAUCCUACUUGGCAGCCCUUCGCCACUCAAAACCAGGCCUUCGAUGAAUACUACAAGGAGCAAGGGAUAGUGGCACCGGAAGAGUGGGACACCUUUGUAGAAGUUCUUCGAACACCGUUGCCUGCUGCUUUCAGAAUCAAUUCUAGUAGCCAAUUUUGUGCAGAUAUUAGAUCUCAGUUAGAGGAUGACUUUAUGAAAUCUCUUAAAGCUGAAUUCACUGAUGGUGGUGAAGUGGAGGCUAUCAGACCGUUGCCUUGGUAUCCUGAUAAUCUUGCUUGGCAUUCAAAUUUUUCUCGAAUGCAGCUAAGGAAGAACCAAACCCUUGAGAGGUUUCAUGAGUUCUUAAAGCUGGAAAAUGAAAUUGGAAACAUCACAAGACAGGAGGCUGUCAGCAUGGUACCUCCUCUCUUCUUGGACGUAUGUCCAAAUCAUUUUGUACUUGAUAUGUGUGCUGCACCAGGUUCAAAAACAUUUCAGUUGCUGGAGAUUAUAUAUCAAUCAACAAAAGCAGGAUCACUGCCUGAUGGAAUGGUUAUAGCAAAUGACCUUGAUGUCCAAAGAUGUAAUCUUCUGAUCCACCAAACGAAAAGAAUGUGCACUGCUAACUUAAUAGUCACAAAUAAUGAAGCCCAACAUUUCCCUGGUUGCCGCGCAAACAAAAAUUUCCCUAAGGCUUCUGAGAUUGAAUUACGGCCCCCCAUUAGUCAACUUCUUUUUGAUCGCGUCUUGUGUGAUGUUCCUUGCAGUGGAGAUGGCACGCUUCGCAAGGCUCCUGAUCUGUGGAGGAAAUGGAAUUCAGGGAUGGGCAAUGGGCUUCAUAAUCUACAAAUUCAGAUAGCAAUGCGAGGCUUAUCCUUACUUAAAGUUGGUGGAAGAAUGGUUUACUCAACCUGCUCAAUGAAUCCAGUUGAAAAUGAGGCUGUUGUUGCUGAGAUUUUACGGAGGUGUGGAGGGUCUGUUGAGCUAGUUGAUGUCUCCAAAGAGCUUCCUCAACUUGUUCGUCGGCCAGGUCUAAGGAAAUGGAAGGUGCGUGAUAAGGGUAUUUGGUUAUUUUCACACAAAGAUGUCUCCAAAUUCCGAAGAUUUGGGAUUCUUCCCAGUAUGUUUCCUUCUGGAAGAACCUAUGUUGCCCCAACAAAUGGAGAUCAUAAGCAUGAGAAUGGUGCUAAUAUGAAUUCUGAAGAUGAGCUAAUGGAGGAUCCUAUGACUUCAACAGAGGAUUUGAAUGAAGAAGUUUCUGAUCUCCCUCUAGAGCGUUGCAUGAGGAUAGUACCUCAUGAUCAGAACAGUGGGGCCUUUUUCAUCGCUGUCCUCCGCAAACUCUCUCCUUUGCCAGUCAUUCAGGAGAAACCCAGUCGGCGUGGAAAUUUGUUGACUAAAAAAGAUGAACUACAAGAAAAAUUAUCAGAACAGGUUACUGAAUGUAAUAAUGGAGUGGAGCUAAACUCAGAAGAUGCUGCAUCUGAAAAUUUUUCUGAAGCAGCUUCAGAGGCUGAUUUAAUUGAGAAAGAAACAGACAAGGCUACUUUAGAGCCUGAUCCUUGUAACACUGAUGAUGAAAAUGAUUCAGAGGAAGCCCAUUUGUUGGUUGAUGGGGAGAUUCCAUCUGGGAAGGCUGUAGGGAAGAGAAAGUUGCAAAUUCAAGGCAAAUGGAAAGGGGUUGACCCGGUGAUUUUCUUCAAAGAUGAAGCCAUUAUCAAUAGCAUAAAGGCAUUCUAUGGUAUUGAUGAGUCAUUUCCAUUCAAUGGUCACCUAAUCUCAAGAAACAAUGAUAACAAUCAUGUGAAGAGAAUUUACUACAUUUCAAAGUCAGUCAAGGAUGUUCUAGAGCUGAAUCUCCUUGUUGGCCAGCAACUUAAGAUAUCUUCAGUUGGCCUUAAGAUGUUUGUAAGUGAAUGUUUGUGCUAUUUCUGGUAUUUCUAUUAUAUUUUGCACAUUACUUUCCGAAGCCAUUGUUGUAGCAUUUUUCCACUUAUUCUGUUCUUCCUCUUUGGCUUAUUGGUGCUAUCCUUCAUAAGUCGGCGAACUCUGAAUAUCAUACCCUUACCGUAAUAUGUUAGUAAAAUAACCAUGCAUCACCUACCGAAGCUUAUUUUGUCUAAACAUCCCAAGAAUGGAGGAUGGUUAGCUUGAUUAACUUAAGAAUUUUCCAUUGAUGAAUAACCAAUUUUGUUCAUCCUUCUUCCUUCUAAAGGAGCGACAAACAUCAAGAGUAGGUACGACUGCUCCAUGUGCAUUUCGGUUAUCAUCUGAAGGACUGCCAGUAAUUCUUCCUCACAUCACCAAACAGAUCCUAUAUGCCUCUACAGUAGACUUCAAGCAUCUUUUGCAGUAUAAAGCUGUCAAAUUCAAGGACUUUGUUGAUGCUGAGUUUGGGGAGAAGGCAUCAAAGCUUAUGAUGGGUUGCUGUGUGAUAGUUUUAAGAGAUGCCAAAACUUUGUCAGAUCCUAUCCAGUUGGAUGCUUCAACAAUAGCCAUUGGCUGCUGGAAGGGUAGGGCCAGUUUGAGUGUGAUGGUCACAGCAAUAGACUGUCAAGAACUGCUCGAAAGGCUUUCAGCGCGUAUGGAGACUGAAAGGUGCUCUUCUUUGCAAGAAAACAAUGUUGAGGCUGACGACGUGCAGGAUAUGAAUGAAAUUGAAAAAGUUGAGGAAUCUGAGACAACUAAAGAAGCUACCAACGGCUAAAGUUACUUGCUGUAAAUCUAAGUUCGUAAAGUGAGAGAUUUUUAUUGUCACAUGAGGGUGAGUCCAGAAAAACUUAGCUUUCUCUAACUUCUUCUCUCUCAAUGUCUUCACUAAACUUGAUCAAUCUAUUGGUUCUUUUGCUAGACAAAAUGAUUGGAGUGUGAUUUUGCUAAUAACCCAUAUCCUUCAACUCUACUGCCACCGCCACCUUCAUCACUGCCAUCACCACCAAAGCUGAAAAUAGUGUGUUCCCAAUUUCUGAGAUUAGAAACUUAGUUUAGAGGUUCUGCUCCAAAUUCGAACUGCCCUCUUCACUUUCCUAGUAUUGUUCGCAUGUAUAUUAGUUCAAUCCAUGCUUAUUGAUACUUGCCUACUAAGCUAAGCCAUUGUCAAUGACUCUUCAGGGGUGAAUCGAUGGUUGCAUGCUUGAUU
rnacentral:misc_RNA from 1 species